rnacentral:rRNA from 1 species
GUGAAGCUGGAUUCGCUAGUAAUCGCGCAUCAGCCAUGGCGCGGUGAAUACGUUCCCGGGCCUUGUACACACCGCCCGUCAAGCCAUGGGAGCCGGGAGUGCCUGAAGGCCGUGACCGCAAGGAGCGGCCUAAGGUAAAACUGGUGACUGGGGCUAAGUCGUAACAAGGUAAC